rnacentral:lncRNA from 1 species
GGACUGAGGAUGUGUGGGAGGCUGAGUAGGGUGAGGCUGAAGCCACCAAGCAGCUGCUUUGGACUGAGUGCAGCAACAGUGCAGAAGUGACUGCGCUUGGACCGGCCACUGGGCAGGUGAGGUGAGGCUGGGACUGGAUCAAAGGCUAUUUCUUCCAAGGAAAUGUAUUGCUGAACACACCGAAACCAAAGCACAGAACAUCUCAGGGUAACAUUCUGGACUUAGGAA